UUGGAUAUAAACCAUUGAUCAUCUUAUUUUGUGAACUUGGUGUUGUAUAUACACCAUUGAUCAUCUUAUUUUGUGAAUUGUGUGUUGGGAUAUUUACCAUGAAUUAAGUAGUACUUUAUGUUGUAUAUGUUGUGAAAAUUGGCUUGCUAUGAUGUUGGGAUGGUUUGGAGCUUGUCUCACCAUGUUUGAAGGAAGAAUGGAAGCAUAAAACCAAGGGUAGAGGUCAUGUGGCUAAUGGUUCGGCAAUUGACAAACAGAUAGUUGGUUUUCGCAAACUGUGAUGGCAAUUGCAUGUUGGCGCAAGGAAGUGCACUUGCAUCUCCACUCGCUGAAGCAAGCAUUGCAGGUGCCGAAAUGUUGCCCCUUCGCUCAGGCAGCUGUGCACGCCACCUGUUCGACAAAAGUCC
rnacentral:lncRNA from 1 species